GGUACCCGAGUUCUUUGGCCACAGACCGCGCCCAGGCAGACCCCUUAAGGCCUCGCCCACCAAGCCCUUGCCACUGAGUUUACGUAAGGCCCGCCCAGCUUCAUUUAAUUCCUCCACUCCCCGCAGGCCCCGCCCCUCAAGGCCUCCUGAGCCCCGCCCCUCCGCCCCUCCUCCUUAUAUAUCCUCCCCGGGCCCCGCCCCCCGGGCUCCCAGCUGCCGACUUAGGGAGCGCGAGCAAACGCACUCUUCCGGCUUCUGCAGGGGGCGGACUCGCUCUCACCGGAAGUAGGACUCAGGCCUGGCUUAUUGGGUCCCGAGGUAGCCAAUCCGCGGAGAAGUAAGAGGCGCCAAUGAGAAUAGGGUGUGGCGGCGGGUGGGCGGGUCCCUCCGGGGCGCCGCAGCGGUUGGCGCGCGCUGGGCUCGCGGCCCGCUGUCGGCCUCUCCUCCGGGGCUGGCUGCGCUCGGCACGCCAGGGUGUCCAAUCCCCGCGCCCCGCGGACCGGCCGCAGAAUGCGCCCUCGGGCUCCAGUCCUCACGGCCUGAUCUCAGGGCCCCGGAGUUCCUCAGGGCUUGCCCGCCCGCGGAACCAAAGCCUGUCCCUCACCGUCCUCAGAAAGCCGUUCUCCUUACCGAGCCUCUCCAGUCAGAGAUUCGCCCUCUUGACGGAGAAUCGGAGCCGAACUUGGCUCGAGGCCCCUGAGGCCCCGUGAGUCGUCUCCACAGCAUCUGUCACCUGCGGAUCCUGUCUUCGCACUGGCCGGCCGGGCCGCUCUCCUCCAGAAGGCCUCAUGGAGCCUCGACUCGGCCGUCAGGCCUCCUCACAGACUCCGCUCCUAGGAGGCCGGGCCCCUCGGACUGCCGCCCCGCCGCUCCCUCGGGUCUCGGGCGUUCCCUCACCAGUACUCGAUCCUCCCCUCCCUGCCCAGUGGGGCCUGUGGCCCGGAGGCAGCCUCUGCCUCGCCGGGUGUCCAGGGCUGGCUGCCUGGGCCGAGGAAAGAUGUGUUACGUAACUUCUUCCCUUGCGGAGGGAGACGGUGAGCGAGGAGCUAGGAGACAGGACCUGCAUCCGGGCCACUUUUCACCUCGUAGCACAGUGGUUUGGGGUUCCUGGGUCUGUAGACUGCAGACUCCAGGACAAGAUGUGUGCAGCUGAUGUCCGACCCACAGCCCCUGGUAGGGAGCACCACGAGCAGCUCUCCAUAUCCGACACGCUCCGCUCCCCAGCAGCUGCAAGGCCCGGGGCGGCUACCUCCUGUGGCUCUCCCCUCCAGGCCUGCCUAGCACUUGGAAGGCAUUCCUUCAAUAACUGAAUCGGUAAAGGGGGUGCCAAGGUUGGGAAUGAAUGACGAGCAAUCCUCUACAUGCCUGCUGUGGCCCCAGUUAAACAGGGGAAGGUCACAGCUAUAGUGACUCUGAAGCACUUGGACUAUCCUACUGGCAGAGGACUUGGAGCAUCUGAAGUUCACGAAGGGAUGGGCGGUAGACUCCUCCUCCAGCAGUUCCACAUACUGGUUAAAGAGCCAGCUUUGCAGACAAACAGACAUGAAUUCAAAUCCUACCUCUUCGACUUCCUAGUUGUGGGAAUUUAGGCAAGUUACUUCAUUUUUCUAAACUUCAGUGUCUUUGUGGAGAUGACCACCCUACUAUUAGUUCUCCCCAGAGUCAUGGCAAGGAUUACAUGAAAUUAUGUACCUAAAAGUGCUUAGAACAAGGCCUGCCACUCAAUGCCUGGGAAAUGAGAGGUGUCAUACUGUCUUUGCUGUUGUCUUACAAAUGCAGCAUGCACAGCAACCCCUUGAGCCCAAUUAUUUACCAUCCCUGGGGAACUGAACCUCCCUUUUUAUCCCUUUGCCCUAGCAGAAGGUAAGAACCAAAGAAUUCCAAACAGACCAUUUAUUUUCUAAGAAUCAAUAUAUUUUCUUCCUUUGAAAUAAAUACAAACCAGUUUGAAAGGUGGGGGAAUCUAUGGGAAAAAGGGAAGUGGGGACAGGCCCCAGUCUUUUUUAGUACCAAAUGACUCUGGCGCGACCCGGAAACGCAGUUACAAAUGAGAAUAAUUUAAAUUCUCCGCUAAUUACAGUAUUUACAACAGCAGGGGAGGGGGUCACCUAGUGCCCCUCUUCCGGGCUGGACAGACAUCAAUCCCACGGCUAGGCUGGGCAGAUGCCCGCUCACCUCACCACCUGCAGGGGGCCUCAGGCCACUAGGCAGUUACAGAUUCUCCUGGACCGAGCAGAGCAGGCAGAUGUGGUGGGAUGGCCUGUUUUAUGCAGUGUCCUAACCUUGGCCCACCACCCUGCACUACAAUGCUGUGAGGUCUCUGGAGCUUUCUAGCCAGUGGCGCCUCCCCUCUCCUUACGCAGAGCCACCAUGGGCCCUUGGAGUGUUCUGUACAGUCCAGCUGCACUCAGGGCGGGAGGGACCUCCCCCACCCAGCUUCCCCUGAGACUGGCCCCAAGACCAGGAAUGAGUCAGUGCAGAGGCCGGUGCCACUCCAGGACAGUGAGCCAAGGGGGAGGAGAGCGGUGGCAGGGCACUGUAGGUUGGGCUGUGCUGGGCAUUAUCAGUCACUAUCACUGGUCUCACUGCUCUGCUCGCCCUGCACCUUGCUGCGGUGCUGCAGAGCCCUGUGGUAGGCAAUCUGCACUGACUUGCGGAUGUUGGAUUUGCGGCCCUCCAGCAUCUUUUCCUUGUCGAGGUCCUGGUUCACACCCAGAGGAACCAGCUUAGUUCUCGGCAGCCACUGCCUGUAGGACGAGGUGAGGAUCACAUAAGUCAUCUCUGGGAAAGCAACAAGCAUGAGCCUUCACUCCUUCAAAAACACCUCUUGAGCACCCACUCUGGGCCUGGCUCUGGUGGGCAGCAGGGUUACUGAGACUGAGAGAAACAGUCCCUACCCUCAAGGAACUGCUUAUAGUCUAGUGAUGAAAAGAGCCCAGUUAAAAGACACACUACAGGAUAACCAUAGGGUAUUUAUGAGUGCAAAAAGGAGGAACUGUGACCUAACCUGAAAUAGGUACCCUGUCCCAUUGGCUCCAGGCAGACUUUACUGACAUUAAACAUCCUCUGUAGACAACACAUAAAAACACUACAUUACGUACAUGUGACAGAAGAGAGACUCAGAACGUGAAUGUUUAUGCCUGUUUUAUCCCCAUUUUGUCACCAUGGAGGCAGAGGUGGGAAAACUAAGUCUAGAAGCCACCUAAGUCUGGGUGGGGAGCACACUUGUCACAGUCACUAAUGGCCCCUUGGCUUCUAGCUACAGCUGUUUGUCAGCUGCUGCCCACUAAGUCUCUCAGACUCUUUCAACACAACCCUUUUGCUCAAAGAUCUAAGUCCCUCCCCCACUGAUUUGUUAUAGCCCAGUCUGUCUGUUGCUGGAAUUUCCUGGCAGCCUGCCCCUAUACCCAGGGUUGCAUCUGUGGCUAUGAGUCAUACCAAAUGCUCCCUUCCUCCCUUACCAGGUUCGCUUGUUGUCAAAGAAGAGGACGAGGUAGAGAUGCUCUCGGGCUUCCUGGGUCAUCUGCUCCCCAAGUUUCAGCACCUCCAGUGGGGGCACAGGAAUGGGAACCCCAUGGUGGAACAUACCUUCCCGGGGCAUCUUUGGAUCAAUUAUCUGAGGGUGUAAUAAGACCUUUGUUUGGUUCAGUCCCCUUCUUCUGCAUGGCUUACUUUACCUAAGAACUGAGAGACUAUCUCUGAAGUGAGGACACAAAGUUACUAGCCUGCAAAGCUGACCCCUGGCUUAAGAUGAACUAUUUCAGACCCCAGGGUGCAAAGAGAAGGAAAAGGGAGACAAGGAAAAACUAACCGGGAACCUCUUAAGUGUCUAUCUGCCAAAGACCCUUGUUCUCUGCAGCUCAGCAGAGAAGAACCUUGGGUCUGAACCAUCUUAAUCUAGGCUGGGGUGGUUGUCACCCCACUUGCAUAGGGAAACCUGGAAGGGCAUCCUGGAGACAGGCCUUGCUUUGGAGGGCUGGUACCUGGUUCGGUCUGAGGCAGCGCUGCUGCUGCUACUGCUGCUGGACUCAGAGUCGGAGCUGCUCCGGGGAAGGCUGCAGUCAUUACGAUAUACCAAGAAACUCUUCUUCACUGGCUGAUUUCCACCGCUGAAGCCAUUGGCUGGAUACUGCCCUCCAGGAUUGGCUGUCAGCCCUUCCACAUGGGUUUUCACACCCAUGAGGGUACCAGCAUGUGUGUCUGUGGAGACCCAAGGUCACAGGAUACCUGGAGCAUCCAUUCUACUUAAUCUCUACACCCAGUGUGAGGCUUGAGCUCACGACCCUGAGGCCAAGAGUCUCAUGCUCUUCUGACUGAGCCAGCCAGAUGCUCCUGCAAUGUAAUUUGACUACAAUUAUGGAUUCAUAAGGAAAAAACUGUCAAGAACUGUAUAUACAUCCAUAUUUCCAUGAGCAGUAUCCUGAGUGAUUUCUUAUUUCAUUUCUCCAUCCUUGAAAUUUUCUACAGCAAUGUUGGGUUACUUUCAUAAUUGAAAGAAACUAUUAUCUUCAUUAUGAAUUACAUAAACCAUUGUUUUUAGGGAAAAGGGAAAUCUAUAGGCAUAUUAAUCUCCCUGAAAUCUUUCCAUUUAUAUUCUUUUUAAAAAUUUUAUCUUUUUUACUUUCAAGCUUUCUGAGGUACUUUGUUUUAGCUAGUUCUUUUCUAUUCAGCAUAUUAUAGGGUUUACUUAUUUUUUUAUUCAAUCAGAGAAUCUUUUUCUUUUAAUAGGUGAACUUAUCCAAUUUAUGCUUGAUGAUAUAUGUUUCAUUUUAGUUCUGUCAUUUUAUUUUAUUUGCAUUUUAGAAAGUGAUUUGA